GCGAGUGUAGUUUAGUGGUAAAACCUCAGUUUUCCAAACUGAUGUUGCGAGUUCGAUUCUCGCCACUCGCU
rnacentral:tRNA from 1 species